GUGUCCCAUAACACCGGCUGGUAAAGCUCUGUCUGGAUGAGGGAAUGUUGUUGUGUCUCAUAACACCGGCUGGUAAAGCUCUGUCUGGAUGAGGGAAUGUUGUUGUGUCUCAUAACACCGGCUGGUAAAGCUCUGUCUGGAUGAGGGAAUGUUGUUGUGUCUCAUAACACCGGCUGGUAAAGCUCUGUCUGGAUGAGGGAAUGUUGUUGUGUCUCAUAACACCGGCUGGUAAAGCUCUGUCUGGAUGAGGGAAGGUUGUUGUGUCUCAUAACACCGGCUGGUAAAGCUCUGUCUGGAUGAGGGAAUGUUGUUGUGUCUCAUAACACCGGCUGGUAAAGCUCUGUCUGGAUGAGGGAAUGUUGUUGUGUCUCAUAA